ACGGAGGCAGCAGUGGGGAAUAUUGCACAAUGGGCGAAAGCCUGAUGCAGCGACGCCGCGUGAGUGAAGAAGUAUUUCGGUAUGUAAAGCUCUAUCAGCAGGGAAGAAAAUGACGGUACCUGACUAAGAAGCUCCGGCUAAAUACGUGCCAGCAGCCGCGGUAAUACGUAUGGAGCAAGCGUUAUCCGGAUUUACUGGGUGUAAAGGGAGCGUAGACGGUAUGGUAAGUCUGAAGUGAAAGCUCGAGGCUCAACUUCGGAAUUGCUUUGGAAACUAUCAUACUAGAGUGCAGGAGAGGCAAGUGGAAUUCCUAGUGUAGCGGUGAAAUGCGUAGAUAUUAGGAGGAACACCAGUGGCGAAGGCGGCUUGCUGGACUGUAACUGACGUUGAGGCUCGAAAGCGUGGGGAGCAAACAGGAUUAGAUACCCUGGUA
rnacentral:rRNA from 1 species